rnacentral:rRNA from 1 species
GUCUCUGGCUAUACCAUCCUGUAUACACCUGAUCAUUUCAGAUCUUGGAAGCGAAGCAGAGUCUGCCCUGGUUAUUACUUGGGUGGGAGAUGCUUAAAUACUUUACAUGGACCAUAGUCC